ACAGGCAGUGCGCCCAACAGCCCCAUGGCGCUGCUCACCAUCGGGUCCAGCUCAGAGAAGGAGAUUGAUGAUGUCAUUGAUGAGAUCAUCAGCCUGGAGUCCAGUUACAAUGAUGAAAUGCUCAGCUAUCUGCCCGGAGGCACCACAGGACUGCAGCUCCCCAGCACGGUGAGGCCCUGAGAUGGGAGGUUGGUCUGAAAAUUAGGGCAUUUCUGUAUCACCAAGACCAUACUCAGUCUGGCUGUGUGUAUAGGAGACCCUUGCCUUGAUUGUGCUAAGAUAGAGAGGGAGGCCUUAUGACGAGAACAGGGUAUGUCAACAAUGCCUUUGGACCUUGUUGGACUGUGUUGAGAGGUGGACCAUGUAGACUGUGAGAGAUACAGGUGGGGAGUUCACUGAGACAGUAGGGCAUAUCAAAGUGCUUGGGCUUUGCUGUGAG
rnacentral:lncRNA from 1 species